UUCCUACGGGAGGCAGCAGUGAGGAAUAUUGGUCAAUGGGCGCGAGCCUGAACCAGCCAAGUCGCGUGAGGGAUGACGGUCCUACGGAUUGUAAACCUCUUUUGCCGGGGAGCAAGCGUGCGUUCGUGAACGCGCGUCGAGAGUACCCGGAGAAAAAGCAUCGGCUAACUCCGUGCCAGCAGCCGCGGUAAUACGGAGGAUGCGAGCGUUAUCCGGAUUUAUUGGGUUUAAAGGGUGCGUAGGCGGAUUUUUAAGUCAGCGGUAAAAUGUCCGGGCUCAACCCGGGCCGGCCGUUGAAACUGUGG
rnacentral:rRNA from 1 species